AUGCCCACUUUGGGGAAUCAGCAACUAUAGCAGUUACCAUGCAAUGCAACCCUGUGGGGCUGGGGGAAUAGGUAUUACCCGUCCACCUCCAUUCCUGUUUGUAAACUAAUCUGCGAUAUCAACGGAUGGUAAGAUGGUUUGUUUCAAACUUUUGAUGAUAAAAUAUGAUAUUCCCACUGAUUCCCAAUAAUUAAACUCUUGUACAAGAAUUCACAUGCUUUUCCAAAUCCAUUGUUUCCUAUUUUCCUAUGUUUCUUUACUUCCACUUAUUUCACAUUUGAUUCUUUUAGCAGUUGUGCCUUGCAUAAACUAAACUGACUGUUGAUUCGUAUUCAUAUUCUAUGCACAAAGAGAGAGAGAGAGAGAGAGAGAGAGAGGGAGGGAAAAACAAAAGAAAAAAAAAGGGAAUUUGCAGGAUCUUUUAAUUUAUUCAGUGGCAAUUGAUAUUAUAAAACCUACUGUCUAUCGAUGGAGUGCAAAGUGGGCUGUGGUCAAAUUCGAGCGUUGCUGCAUGGCAGAAUAGAUCUUGCAAGACAUCGGAGGGCCCUGCUUAUUGAGACAAUUCAUGGAUGGCGAAUGCUUUCUUGCAAAGGCCCGUCUGCGACUCCCGAACACAAGCUUGCUGCAAGUCCUGAUGCUGCAGCAUGAUCUAGGCCGUCCAUCAGGCAGGCCACACAGUGAGUGAAUGUCCUUUUAGCCCAAAGAUCAGACCUGUUGCUUGUAUGUCGAUACUGCCCAUAUAUGUUGAUUGUGGCCCCCUCCCCCAAAGAUUGGACUGGCCUGAUACUGGGCCAGGUCUGGUCCACCCUGGCUUCCUACACCGUGAAUGGCUCUGAUCUCGCAGGCUUGUGUGAUGUUGGCAUGUGUAGGGUGUAUCCAUCUGAUGCUCGCAGGUGUGCCCUUGCAAGCAGAGCAUUCCUCUCUUUCUGGAUUGUUGUACAUCUCUCAUUAUAAUGUCCAAUGAGAUAUGUCUGCAAUGAGAGAUGCACACCGCAUGUACAAUGUUUGCAGGUGUACUGCAGUGGGCCCCAUCCGUAAUGGCCAAUUUGCAUUUACCAGCAACCUGGUAUGUAAGAGAUUUUAAUAUAUUUACUGGCCAUUGAAUGGAUAGGCAGAUUCAUUGAA